AUUGAACGCUGGCGGCAGGCCUAACACAUGCAAGUCGAGCGGAGCGGCGGACGGGUGAGUAAUGCCUAGGAAUCUGCCUGGUAGUGGGGGAUAACGUCCGGAAACGGGCGCUAAUACCGCAUACUAUCAGAUGAGCCUAGGUCGGAUUAGCUGGUUGGUGGGGUAAAGGCCUACCAAGGCGACGAUCCGUAACUGGUCUGAGAGGAUGAUCAGUCACACUGGGACAGGGACACGGUACAGAGUCCAACGGAAGGCGGCAAUGGGGAAUAUUGGACAAUGGGCGAAGGCCUGAUCCAGCCGUGCCGCGUGUGUGAAGAAGGUCUUCGGAUUGUAGAGCACUUUAAGUUGGGAGGCGUGACCAACAGAAUAGGCACCGGCUAACUUCGUGCCAGCAGCCGCGGUAAUUC
rnacentral:rRNA from 1 species